rnacentral:rRNA from 1 species
UAGGGAAUCUUCGGCAAUGGACGAAAGUCUGACCGAGCGACGCCGCGUGUGUGAUGAAGGGUUUCGGCUCGUAAAACACUGUUGUAAGAGAAGAAUGACAUUGAGAGUAACUGUUCAAUGUGUGACGGUAUCUUACCAGAAAGGAACGGCUAAAUACGUGCCAG